CAAUUGGUGGGACAGAUUCCAUUCAUCAAGCAAUUUGCUACAUUUUCAAAAUAUUCCUUCAAUGGAAACGAAAGAUUAUGUGGUUUCCCUUUGAAAUCACAGUGCUCGCAUGAGGAGCCACGGUUGUCACCUCCAACAUAUGAAGAACCUCAUUCGAAUUCUGGGACUGUGAUUGAGUGGAAUUAUAUAAGCGCUGAACUGGGAUUUGUUUUUGGCUUCGGAAUUAUAAUUGGGCCUCUUAUGUUUUGGAAGAAGUGGAGGAUAUGGUGCUAUAAACAUGUUGAUGACAUUGGUUUUAGGAUCUUCCCUCAACUGUAUCUCCGAAAAGAACAUCGUCGAAGACAAGCAUUCCGCAAUCAGGAGCUAAGGCACUAGUUUCAGUUUCGAGGCGCAACACCUCCAGCUGGGGUUCAAGCAUAUUUUCUUCUGGAGUUCAAUUGCAGAGAUAUGUUCUCCAAGUUGACUCUGAAGGAAGUUUGCAGAAGUCUGCAAGGCCUCUCUGGUGGCUGUAAUGCUCAGUUGCUGUUAUACACAUUUAUGUGUGAUGGGCACUUAAUAAUUCAAAAUACUUUUGUCAUGUUUUGAAUCAAAUAAUUACCCCGAGUACCUCUCAAUAGACAUGUAUCUCGUUGAAUUCUAAUUA